rnacentral:rRNA from 1 species
UACGAAGGGGGCUAGCGUUGUUCGGAUUUACUGGGCGUAAAGCGCACGUAGGCGGGUUGUUAAGUCAGGGGUGAAAUCCUGGAGCUCAACUCCAGAACUGCCUUUGAUACUGGCAACCUAGAGGCUGGAAGAGGUUAGUGGAAUUCCCAGUGUAGAGGUGAAAUUCGUAGAUAUUGGGAAGAACACCAGUGGCGAAGGCGGCUAACUGGUCCAGAUCUGACGCUGAGGUGCGAAAGCGUGGGGAUCAAACAGG